AAAGACAUGGGGCAUAAUAUUGCAACAUGUCCUCUAAAAGAAAAUAUUCAAUUUUCUGCUCACACUAAAAACAAGAAGCAGAAAAUAUGUCAAGAUGCAAAUUUAAAUUCAGUUCUUCUACCAAAAAUUUAGGUACAUAUAUUUUUUUUAUAUUUUUAUAUAUAUUUUUUGUUUUUUAUAUUUUUAAUUUGUUAACUAAAAUUAUAUUUUUUUUAACAGGAAGAAAUGGAUGAUAUAUGUAUGAAGACCAU
rnacentral:lncRNA from 1 species